rnacentral:misc_RNA from 1 species
AACGCACAUUGCGCCCUUUGGUAUUCCAAAGGGCAUGCCUGUUCGAGCGUCAUUUGUACCCUCAAGCUUUGCUUGGUGUUGGGCGUCUUUUGUCUCCAGUUCGCUGGAGACUCGCCUUAAAGUCAUUGGCAGCCGGCGUAUUGAUUUCGGAGCGCAGUACAUCUCGCGCUUUGCACUCAUAACGACGACGUCCAAAAGUACAUUUUUACACUCUUGACCUCGGAUCAGGUAGGGAUACCCGCUGAACUUAA